GACGAACGCUGGCGGCGUGCUUAACACAUGCAAGUCGAACGGAAAGGCCCUGCUUUUGUGGGGUGCUCGAAUGGCGAACGGGUGAGUAACACGUGAGUAACCUGCCCUUGACUUUGGGAUAACUUCAGGAAACUGGGGCUAAUACCGGAUAGGAGCUCCUGCUGCAUGGUGGGGGUUGGAAAGUUUCGGCGGUUGGGGAUGGACUCGCAGCUUAUCAGCUUGUUGGUGGGGUAGUGGCUUACCAAGGCUUUGACGGGUAGCCGGCCUGAGAGGGUGACCGGCCACAUUGGGACUGAGGUACGGCCCAGACUCCUACGGGAGGCAGCAGUGGGGAAUAUUGCACAAUGGGCGGAAGCCUGAUGCAGCAACGCCGCGUGCGGGAUGACGGCCUUCGGGUUGUAAACCGCUUUCGCCUGUGACGAAGCGUGAGUGACGGUAAUGGGUAAAGAAGCACCGGCUAACUACGUG
rnacentral:rRNA from 1 species